rnacentral:misc_RNA from 1 species
GAUGAAGAACGUAGCGAAAUGCGAUACUUGGUGUGAAUUGCAGAAUCCCGUGAACCAUCGAGUCUUUGAACGCAAGUUGCGCCCGAAGCCAUUAGGCCGAGGGCACGCCUGCCUGGGCGUCACACGUCGUUGCCCCCCCAUCUAAUCCUUCGGGAUUGCGGGGGGCGGCUGAUGGCCUCCCGUGCGCCUCGUCGCGCGGUUGGCAUAAAUGCCAAGUCCUCGGCGACGCACGCCACGACAAUCGGUGGUUGCGAAACCUCGGUUGCCCGUUGUGUGCGGUCGUCGCGCAUCGAGGGCUCGAAAAAAUUGCCGGGCUCCGGCUCGACUUUCAACGCGACCCCAGGUCAGGCGGGGUUACCCGCUGAAUUUAAGCAUAUCAAUAAGCGGAGGA